rnacentral:rRNA from 1 species
CUUCGGGUCUAGUGGCGCACGGGUGCGUAACGCGUGGGAAUCUGCCCUUGGGUUCGGGAUAACAGUUGGAAACGACUGCUAAUACCGGAUGAUGACUUCGGUCCAAAGAUUUAUCGCCCAGGGAUGAGCCCGCGUCGGAUUAGCUAGUUGGUGAGGUAAAGGCUCACCAAGGCGACGAUCCGUAGCUGGUCUGAGAGGAUGAUCAGCCACACUGGGACUGAGACACGGCCCAGACUCCUACGGGAGGCAGCAGUGGGGAAUAUUGGACAAUGGGCGAAAGCCUGAUCCAGCAAUGCCGCGUGAGUGAUGAAGGCCUUAGGGUUGUAAAGCUCUUUUACCCGGGAUGAUAAUGACAGUACCGGGAGAAUAAGCCCCGGCUAACUCCGUGCCAGCAGCCGCGGUAAUACGGAGGGGGCUAGCGUUGUUCGGAAUUACUGGGCGUAAAGCGCACGUAGGCGGCUUUGCAAGUCAGAGGUGAAAGCCCGGGGCUCAACCCCGGAAUAGCCUUUGAGACUGCAUCGCUAGAACGUCGGAGAGGUGAGUGGAAUUCCGAGUGUAGAGGUGAAAUUCGUAGAUAUUCGGAAGAACACKAGUGGCGAAGGCGACUCACUGGACGACUGUUGACGCUGAGUGCGAAAGCGUGGGAGCAAACAGGAUUAGAUACCCUGGUAGUCCACGCCGUAAACGAUGAGAACUAGCUGUCGGGGCGCUUAGCGUUUCGGUGGCGCAGCUAACGCAUUAAGUUCUCCGCCUGGGGAGUACGGCCGCAAGGUUAAAACUCAAAGAAAUUGACGG